AACAGCUGGAAACGGCUGCUAAUACCGCAUAAGGCCACGGCUUCGAGUGGAGCUGAGGUAAAAGAUUUAUCGCACAAAGAUGGGCUCGCGUCCCAUUAGCUAGUUGGUGAGGUAACGGCCCACCAAGGCAUCAAUGGGUAGCCGACCUGAGAGGGUGAUCGGCCACACUGGAACUGAGACACGGUCCAGACUCCUACGGGAGGCAGCAGUGGGGAAUAUUGGGCAAUGGGCGCAAGCCUGACCCAGCAACGCCGCGUGAGGGAAGAAUGUCUUCGGAUUGUAAACCUCUGUCCUUGGGGACGAAAAAAUGACGGUACCCAAGGGGGAAGCUCCGGCUAACUACGUGCCAGCAGCCGCGGUAAUACGUAGGGAGCGAGCGUUGUCCGGAAUUGCUGGGCGUAAAGGGUGCGUAGGCGGCUAGGCAAGUCAGAUGUGAAAUCCCCGGGCUUAACUCGGGGGGUGCAUUUGAAACUGCUUAGCUUGAGUGCAGGAGAGGAAAGCGGAAUUCCUAGUGUAGCGGUGAAAUGCGUAGAUAUUAGGAGGAACACCAGUGGCGAAGGCGGCUUUCUGGACUGUAACUGACGCUGAGGCACGAAAGCGUGGGGAGCAAACAGGAUUAGAUACCCUGGUAGUCCACGCUAUAAACAAUA
rnacentral:rRNA from 1 species